rnacentral:rRNA from 1 species
CGGAAUCCGCUAAGGAGUGUGUAACAACUCACCUGCCGAAUGAAUUAGCCCUGAAAAUGGAUGGCGCUGAAGCGGGCAGCCGAUACCACGCCGUCUGGGCAACUUUUGUUCUCAGAUGAGUAGGAGGACGUGGCGGUUGUACAGAAGCGUGCCCGCGAGGGUGCGUGGAACGGCCGCCAGUGCAGAUCUUGGUGUUAGUAGCAAAUAUUCAAUUGAAAACCUUGAAGGGCGAAGCGGGGAAGGGUUCCACGCGUACAUUGAUUGGGUGUGGGUGAGUCGUUCCUAAGCCGCGUGGCAAUAGCUGCAUAUCGGCGAAAGGGAAGCAGGUUGACAUUCCUGCACACGGAUGUGGAUGCGGUGACGCACUUCUGGGGCAGUGAAGCUGGCUUUGGCACUGGGCAGAGAUAUCUUUUCUGUUUAACCGUUAUCGAACGUACUGUGUGGAAUCCGCUUGUCGGGAGAAACACGUGCGGUCGGGCAUAGCGCCGGGAUUUUUCCGGCGUCCAGUUCGCCGAGGACGGACCUUGAAAAGCUGCUUGCUGGCACAAUUCCUUGUGAGUUGUGUAUGAAGAAUCCACGCCGUAACGUACCGAUAACCGCAUCAGGUCCCCAAGGUGAACAGCCUCUGCUCGAUAUGAUCAAUGCAGGUAAGGGAAGUCGGCAAAUCAGACCCGUAACUUUGGGAAAAGGGUUGGCUCUAGUGCUGCGUGGGAUUGGUUGUUGUGGUGUUUGUGUUGAUCCUGUUAGCGUCGCUGCGGAGUGGGCGGUCCCUCGGGGCAGCCCGCGCUGUGGAGGUGUAGACGGUGAACGAUGCGGCCUGUGACGACGCCCACAGCAUGCAGCAAACUAGAACUGCAACGGGCAAAGGGAAUCCGACUGUUUAAUUAAAACAAAGCAUUGCGAGGGCCGUGGCCGGUGUUGACGCAA